rnacentral:miRNA from 1 species
GCGGCCGGGCUGGGCUGGGCUUGGCUGGGGACGGCGGCGGCGGCGGCGCGCG